UAUUUUUUUGUUUGGUGUUC
rnacentral:miRNA from 1 species